GGCCAGUCAUUUCUGGAGAGGGCUUUGGUGGAGAAGGAGAGUCCUAUUCAACUCUGGGACCUGCAUUUUAUAGUCACUCCUAUAAGGUCACAUUCUGAGACCCUUCAAGGACAAUUUCUGUGAAGCUAAUUCUUUCAGUGACGAAAAUAUGAAGAGCCAACAUCUAAAUUCUUAUGGGCCUGGCUGUCAUUUAACAUCUCCUGGAGAAGAGUAGUGGGGUAGAAAUAGUACAAGCCUGCAAAUCAAGAAACUUGAGCAGGGAACAGAGGUCCACAUCCUGGACUCAGGAAUUUGCACAGAAGGAGACACUCCAAGCAGUGCUCCGACACACAAGAGGCCCCAGGAAUUUGGAGACCUGAGUAACUCCAAGGAAGCCCUGGCCGCACUCAGGCUGCUGUUUCAGACAAAACUAAACAACUCAUAUCAGUCCAAGCACAAAGGAAACUCUCCAAGGAUCAUGGUCAUGGAGAAGGAAAAUAACUUGGGUCUGGCCUUGAUGACGCUCCUGAAUUUUCCUGCUUGUGAUACAGUGGUGUUCUGAAGACUGGCAAGUACCUUUCUUGUUUCUCUGCUGCUAUCCUGAAAAUGUCACUUGCGUGCAUUUGGGAGAAAGAUUUGCUGCG